AUUGAACGCUGGCGGUAUGCUUAACACAUGCAAGUCGAACGAUGAGAAAGAGCUUGCUCUUUCGAUUAGUGGCGGACGGGUGCGUAACGCGUAGGAAUCUACCUAUUAGUGGGGGACAACUUAGGGAAACUCACGCUAAUACCGCAUACGCCCUACGGGGGAAAGCGGGGGCUCUUCGGACCCCGCGCUAUGAGAUGAGCCUGCGUUAGAUUAGCUAGUUGGUAGGGUAAAAGCCUACCAAGGCGACGAUCUAUAGCUGGUCUGAGAGGACGAUCAGCCACACUGGGACUGAGACACGGCCCAGACUCCUACGGGAGGCAGCAGUGGGGAAUAUUGGACAAUGGGCGCAAGCCUGAUCCAGCAAUACCGCGUGUGUGAAGAAGGCCCUAGGGUUGUAAAGCACUUUCAAUUGGGAGGAAAACCUGCCGGUCAAUACCCGGCAGCUUGACAUUACCUUUAGAAGAAGCACCGGCUAACUCCGUGCCAGCCGCCGCCGUAAUAC
rnacentral:rRNA from 1 species